GACGAACGCUGGCGGCGUGCUUAACACAUGCAAGUCGAACGGAAAGGCCCUGCUUGCAGGGUGCUCGAGUGGCGAACGGGUGAGUAACACGUGGGUGAUCUGCCCCUUACUUUGGGAUAAGCCUGGGAAACUGGGUCUAAUACUGGAUAGGACCAUGCUGUAGGUGGUGUGGUGGUAAGAUUAGUUUCGGUAAGGGGUGAGCUCGCGGCCUAUCAGCUUGUUGGUGGGGUAAUGGCCUACCAAGGCGUCGACGGGUAGCCGGCCUGAGAGGGUGGACGGCCACAUUGGGACUGAGAGACGGCCCAGACUCCUACGGGAGGCAGCAGUGGGGAGUAUUGCACAAUGGGCGCAAGCCUGAUGCAGCGACGCCGCGUGGGGGAUGACGGCCGUCGGGUUGUAAACUCCUUUCAGCCAUGACGAAGCCCUUGUGGUGACGGUAGUGGUAGAAGAAGCACCGGCUAACUACGUG
rnacentral:rRNA from 1 species